rnacentral:rRNA from 1 species
GAACGCUGGCGGCAUGCUUUACACCUGCAAGUCGAACGGUAAUAGGCCUUCGGGUGCUGACGGGUGGCGAACGGGUGAGUAAUGCAUCGGAACGUACCCAGAGGUGGGGGAUAACGCAGCGAAAGCUGUGCUAAUACCGCAUGUGAUCUGAGGAUGAAAGCGGGGGACCGAGCAGCAAUGUUUGGCCUCGCGCCUUUGGAGCGGCCGAUGUCGGAUUAGCUAGUUGGUGGGGUAAAGGCCUACCAAGGCGACGAUCCGUAGCUGGUCUGAGAGGACGACCAGCCACACUGGGACUGAGACACGGCCCAGACUCCUACGGGAGGCAGCAGUGGGGAAUUUUGGACAAUGGGCGCAAGCCUGAUCCAGCAAUGCCGCGUGCGGGAAGAAGGCCUUCGGGUUGUAAACCGCUUUUGGCAGGAACGAAACGGUGUCCGCUAAUACCGGGCGCUAAUGACGGUACCUGCAGAAUAAGCACCGGCUAACUACGUG